GACGAACGCUGGCGGCGUGCUUAACACAUGCAAGUCGAACGGAAAGGCCCUGCUUUUGUGGGGUGCUCGAGUGGCGAACGGGUGAGUAACACGUGAGUAACCUGCCCUUGACUUUGGGAUAACUUCAGGAAACUGGGGCUAAUACCGGAUAGGAGCUCCUGCUGCAUGGUGGGGGUUGGAAAGUUUCGGCGGUUGGGGAUGGACUCGCGGCUUAUCAGCUUGUUGGUGGGGUAGUGGCUUACCAAGGCUUUGACGGGUAGCCGGCCUGAGAGGGUGACCGGCGGCAUUGGGACUGCGGGGCGGCCGGGCGGGCUACGGGGGGGAGCAGGGGGGAAGGGUGCGCGGUGGGGGGGGGUCGGAUGCCGCAACGCCGCGUGCGGGAUGGCGGCCUGCGGGGGGUAAACAGCUUGCGCCGGUGACGAAGCGUGAGUGACGGUAAUGGGUAAAGAAGCAACGGCUAACUAAGUG
rnacentral:rRNA from 1 species